AGCGAACGCUGGCGGCAGGCUUAACACAUGCAAGUCGAGCGCCCGUAGCAAUACGGGAGCGGCAGACGGGUGAGUAACACGUGGGAACGUGCCCUUUGGUUCGGAAUAACUCAGGGAAACUUGAGCUAAUACCGGAUAAGUCCGUAAGGAGAAAGAUUUAUCGCCGAAGGAGCGGCCCGCGUCCGAUUAGCUAGUUGGUGAGGUAAUGGCUCACCAAGGCUACGAUCGGUAGCUGGUCUGAGAGGAUGACCAGCCACACUGGGACUGAGACACGGCCCAGGCUCCUACGGGAGGCAGCAGUGGGGAAUAUUGGACAAUGGGGGCAACCCUGAUCCGGCCAUGCCGCGUGGAUGAUGAAGGCCUUAGGGUUGUAAAGUCCUUUUAACGGGGAAGAUAAUGACGGUACCCGUAGAAUAAGCCCCGGCUAACUUCGUGCCAGCCGCCGCCGUAAGAC
rnacentral:rRNA from 1 species